rnacentral:rRNA from 1 species
CAGUCGCCGCGGGAAAACAGAGGCCUCAAGCGUUGUUCGGAUUCAUUGGGCGUAAAGGGUGCGUAGGUGGCUUGGUAAGUUGAAGGUGAAAUCUCGGGGCUUAACCCCGAAACUGCCUUUAAUACUGCUAGGCUCGAGGACUGUAGAGGAGAAUGGAAUUCACGGUGUAGCAGUGAAAUGCGUAGAUAUCGGGAGGAAGACCAGUGGCGAAGGCGAUUCUCUGGGCAGUUCCUGACACUGAGGCACGAAGGCCAGGGGAGCAAACGGGAUUAGAUACCCCCGUAGUCCCUGUCUCUUAUAC